CUAGGAUGUCAUCCACCUGGCAAAGGGGGAGAGUCAGGGCACACACCCGACGCCUACGACCCGACCCCCACGGCAGGGCGGCGUGGCCCCAUCUGGUCCCGACCACGUGCACUCGCCUUGGGCAUAGCUGCGAGUCUAGAUCCACCACUCUUUCAGCAAAGACACCGGAUGAGAUAAAAAUCAGGUGGGCAGGAGAGAGAAGGGAAGGAAAAGGAGACAGCACACGGCCACUGCAGACACGUCACGCGUCGUGCCGAUUCCUCUGGGUUUCCGAGCACCCGCCUCCAAUUCUGCUCUUGGAACACUGUUUGCUCAGAAAGCGAUGCUUCACUGGCGCAGCUGAUACUGUUCUUUUUCUUGGUUCUAAGUUAAUAUGUGAUGGAGAAAUCGUACGGCCCCCCGUCGGGUGGGCUGGGGGUCGCACAGCCCACGGGCAGCACAGCCAGCCUUUCACAGACCCAUUCGCGGUCACAGCAGCCGAGCCCGGCAGGCAGACAUUUCUGGACUCCACUCCCAGGCUCCGAAGCUCUGAGGCAACGCCUCUGUGACGUCCUGAACACCCGGACGAACGCCUGAGAAGUGCCAGACUGUGUCAAGAUGGUAACAUCAACUUAUUUAAAACGGCACAAAGUGGAGUUUGGAGACGACCAUACUAACACUACGCGUCGCUCAGCCCUCAGUACCAUGACUCAGAGCUGAAGAUGCACCCCCCCCAAAUACCUGAGUAACAGAGUCCACGUGUAGAAACUUUACUCAGAAAAAGCAGUGAUAUCAAAAAUCCUGUAAGCCAACACAGUAACAUUUUUAUGACCUUGAACUGGAUCAGUAUUUAACAAGUUUAUCUGAUCUUUAGUA